ensembl:snRNA U4 U4 spliceosomal RNA
AGCUUUGCGCAAUGGCAGUAUCACAGCCAAUGAGGUUUAUCCGAGGCACGAUUAUUGCUAAUUUUUUAAAAAAUGCAAAUUUUUAGUCUUUGCCCCAAACCUAGUGUAUCAGAAACCCUGCAGUUUGGGUCCAGCAGGUUAAUAGUUUCAUAAGGUCUCCAGGUGAUUCUGAAACUAAAACUUGAGAACUAUUGCAGUGGUCCAAGCUUGACU